rnacentral:rRNA from 1 species
AUUGAACGCUGGCGGCAGGCCUAACACAUGCAAGUCGAGCGGAUGAGAGGAGCUUGCUUCUCGAUUCAGCGGCGGACGGGUGAGUAAUGCCUAGGAAUCUGCCUGAUAGUGGGGGACAACGUUUCGAAAGGAGCGCUAAUACCGCAUACGUCCUACGGGAGAAAGCAGGGGACCUUCGGGCCUUGCGCUAUCAGAUGAGCCUAGGUCGGAUUAGCUAGUUGGUGAGGUAAUGGCUCACCAAGGCGACGAUCCGUAACUGGUCUGAGAGGAUGAUCAAUCACACUGGAACUGAGCCACGGUCCAGACUCCUACGGGAGGCAGCAGUGGGGAAUAUUGGACAAUGGGCGAAAGCCUGAUCCAGCCAUGCCGCGUGUGUGAAGAAGGUCUUCGGAUUGUAAAGCACUUUAAGUUGGGAGGAAGGGUUGUAGAUUAAUACUCUGCAAUUUUGACGUUACCGACAGAAUAAGCACCGGCUAACUCUGUGCCAGCAGCCGCGGUAAAAC